UAGAAAUGGCUGUUGUGGUUAGUGGGAGAGUGUAUUAGUCUGUUCUCACACUGCUAAUAAAAACAUACCCGAGCCUGGGGAAUUUAUAAAGGAAAGAGGUGUAAUUGAUUCACAAGUCGGCAGGGCUGGGGAGGCCUCAGGAAACUUACGAUCAUAGUGGAAGGGGAAGCAAACACAUCUUUCUUCACAUGAUGGCAGGAAGGGGAAGUGCUGAGCAGAGGGUAAAGCCCUUUGUAAAACCAUCAGAUCUUGUGAGAACUCACUCACUAUCAUGAGAACAGCAUGAGGGUAACCACCCCUCUAUGAUUAAAUUACCUCCCACUGGGUCCCUCCCACAACACAUGGGGAUGAUGGGAACUGAAAUUCAAAAUGAGAUUUGGGUGGGGACAUAGUCAAACCAUAUGAGAGAGGCAGCUGAUUAGGAGAAAGGGGAAAUGGGUGGGGAGCAUGGACCGUGAGUGUUAGUGGCACCUGCAGUAAGUGACGCUCCCUGCUUUGAGCCUGUCACAGAUCUUAUUCUUGAUCUAUCACAAAGGGUUAAGGAGAGAACUGGUCUAUCUUUCAGUUGUCCUUAAUCCCAAAGAAUUAUUUUAGUAAGCCUCUAAACUAGGCUUACAGAACAAGCUUCACAGUCUCUAGGGGCAUCUAGCCAAAAGAAGUGAGGAGAUAAGAACAUGAAGUAAGGAACUUGAUCGGUCUGGGCAAUCAGUGGUGGUGACGGGGAGGCACCUUCUUGCUAUAGUAGCCAGAGAACUCAUGGGCAGGUGGCUUUUGCACUGGUAUCCAAGGGAUGGGCAGAAUUCUGGAAGGUAGAAGAUUUUCCUGGUUGGAGGGAGGCACCAGAGUCACGGGAGUGAACAAGAGACAAGGUCCCCACACUCCAGUGGGAGACAGUGAACAAAUAAACACUGCGGAGGCCACAAAAUGCCUGGAAGGAAAUAAGGAUGGGAGCACGAUGGGUGAAGGAUGGCUGCUUUUUGAUGUAGCACCAUCUGGACGCCUCCUUGGAUAAGGUGACAUUUGAGCAAACACCAAGGGGAAGAAACUUGGGGAGAAACAAGGGGAGUCAUGCAGAUAUUGGGGCAUGGGUGGAAGAGCAUUUCAGGGCAAGAGGACAGCAAGUGCAAAGGCUCCUGGGCAAGGAAUUUGCUAGCUGCAUUUGAGGAACAGCCAGGAGGUCACUGGGCUGGAGUGCAGUCAGACGAACGGUGGCUAAGUCAUGGGGAGGCUUAAAGGUCAUUGUGAGGAGGUUGGCUUUUCUGCUGAGGGAUAUGGGAGGCUACUGGAGGUCUGGAGCAGAGGAUGACUCACCUACCUUAGUUGCUGAAAGGAUCUGAGGGUGGACUACAGGGGACAGGGGCUGGACCAGAGAGACACUUAGGGAACUACUCCAACAAUUCAGGUGAGAGUUGGUGGCUUGGAUCGGGUCAGUGGUUAGUGGGAGAGUGUAUUAGUCUGUUCUCACAAUGCUGAUAAAGACAUACCUGAGCCUGGGGAAUUUAUAAAGGAAAGAGGUGUAAUUGGCUCACAACUCUGCAGGGCCGGGGAAGCCUCAGCAAAUGUCGAAUCGUAGUGGAAAGGGAAGCAAACACAUCCUUCAUCACAUGAUGAUGGAAGUGGACAGCACGAGAGGAAUUUGGAAACUGAAAAUAUUCUAGAGAUAGAGGAGUUAGGAUUUCCUGCUGGAUCAGAUGUGCGUGUGAGAGGAGGAGGAGCCCAGGGUGACUCCUGGCUUUUGGGCUGAGC
rnacentral:lncRNA from 1 species